AGAGUUUGAUCCUGGCUCAGAGUGAACGCUGGCGGCAGGCCUAAUACAUGCAAGUCGAACGGCAGCACAGCAGAGCUUGCUCUGUGGGUGGCGAGUGGCGGACGGGUGAGGAAUACAUGGGAGUCUGCCCAGUCGUGGGGGAUAACGUAGGGAAACUUACGCUAAUACCGCAUGCGCCCUUCGGGGGAAAGCCGGGGACCUUCGGGCCUGGCGCGAUUGGAUGAGCCCAUGUCGGAUUAGCUAGUUGGCGGGGUAAUGGCCCACCAAGGCGACGAUCCGUAGCUGGUCUGAGAGGAUGAUCAGCCACACUGGAACUGAGACACGGUCCAGACUCCUACGGGAGGCAGCAGUAGGGAAUAUUGGACAAUGGGCGCAAGCCUGAUCCAGCCAUGCCGCGUGAGUGAAGAAGGCCCUCGGGUUGUAAAGCUCUUUUGUCCGGAAAGAAAAGCGCCGGGUUAAUACCCUGGUGUCCUGACGGUACCGGAAGAAUAAGCACCGGCUAACUUCGUG
rnacentral:rRNA from 1 species